rnacentral:ribozyme from 11 species
AAAGAAAAAAUAACAAAAAACGAAAAGAAUUAGUAUUAGAGAGAUACUAUGAAAUCCCUUUUUUUCAUCCUUUUUUCUUU